GCAGUCGAGCGAGAGUCACGGUGUGAGCAAUCAUGUUGUGACUCUAGCGGCGCACGGGUGAGUAACACGUGGGUGACCUGCCCUCGAGUCCGGGAUACCUCCUCGAAAGGGGGGCUAAUACUGGAUACUUUCCUCGGGUCGCAAGACCUGGGGAGAAAAGGUAGCUCGCAAGGGCUGCCGCUCGUGGAGGGGCUCGCGGCCUAUCAGCUAGUUGGUAGGGUAACGGCCUACCAAGGCGAUGACGGGUAGCUGGUCUGAGAGGACGGCCAGCCACACGGGGACUGAGACACGGCCCCGACUCCUACGGGAGGCAGCAGUGGGGAAUUUUCCGCAAUGGGCGAAAGCCUGACGGAGUGACGCCGCGUGGGGGACGAAGGCCUUCGGGUCGUAAACCCCUGUCAGAGGGAAAGAUGGGUGUCGGCGUGAACAGCGCCGGCAUCUGACGGUACCUUCAGAGGAAGCCCCGGCCAACUCUGUGCCAGCAGCCGCGGUAAGACAGAGGGGGCAAGCGUUGCUCGGAAUUACUGGGCGUAAAGGGCGUGUAGGCGGAGCGGCAAGUCGGUCGUGAAAGCCUCUGGCUCAACUGGAGAACGUCGAUCGAUACUGCCGUCCUUGAGGGUAGCAGAGGAGACUGGAAUUCCCGGUGUAGCGGUGAAAUGUGUAGAGAUCGGGAGGAA
rnacentral:rRNA from 1 species